CCCUUAGAUGUCCUGGGCCGCACGCGCGCUACACUGACAUGUUCAACAAGUUUCUCCUAGUUCGACAGGACUGGGAAAUCUUUGAACGCAUGUCGUGAUAGGGAUAGAUCAUUGCAAUUAUUGAUCUUGAACGAGGAAUUCCUAGUAAACGCGAGUCAUCAGCUCGCAUUGAUUACGCCCCUGCCCUUUGUACACACCGCCCGUCGCACCUACCGAUUGAAUGUUUCGGUGAAGAUUCCGGAUAGGACUGAUUUGAUUUAUUUCAUUUCUGACCUAAAAGCUAUCUAAACCUCAACAUUUAGGGGAAGGUGAAGUCGUAACA
rnacentral:rRNA from 1 species